UCUCUCUCUUCCUUUGUUUUCACGUAAUUUUUUUUCCUAGGGCGUAUUUAUAUUUAUAGAUAAAAUAGAGAUCGCAUAAAAAUUCAAUAUCUUUAAUGAAUUUGAUAUCAUCGUUUGGUUACUCGAUUUUUAGUAUAUUGUUCAUAUGUUACGACGCGCGAACCGUUCUUUAAUGAAAACUGCUGUAUUGUCUGAAGAAAGUUUGUUGGAUCGGAAAGACUACUUCCAUCAAUUUCUUAUAUUUUCUCAGACGCAAAGAGCUCACUUUGAAUCGAAUGAGAAACUCUUGUUGUCUGGUGAUGUCUGUUGCUAAAAUCAACGAACUGAUGUGCCGCUGAAGUUCUGGCCUCACGUUGGCAGGCAGUUGAUCGGAAACUCCGCUCUCCAGAAGACAUCCUAUCGCUGAUCUCCAAUGAUGAUUCUCAAGAACCGACGUGUUCUGGAAAACCGUCAACGAACGUUUCUCACCAGUUCUACGCAGCUGUGUAUUAAACAUGCCGAAAAUUGCGUCGACUUACUUGGUAGAGAGCAGCCAAGUGAUUGCUCGUGGCAACUAGGAACGGUUGAUUGACGCCUGGAUGAUCCAGAUCGUGCGUCACCGCGGCAAUCAGCGACGCCAUAAUCUCCAAGUUGGUUAAGUGCGCCCUGAUCUGUAAAUUUAUAACGUUGCAUAUCUCAUUAUGCUUCAUCUUUUACAAGCCAUAAAAUCUUGUCGUAUAUACUUACUUUUUCCUCUUGGAGGAAGCAGUGCAUCGCCUGCGUCACAUCGGUCGCGUGUAUACUGUUGUGGUAAGGAUUUGUGCUAUGAUAACCCUCCUCGAUGAAGGCUGAAUGGGAGAAGACGGAGUAUGAUUAAAUUGUUUGUCAUAUGUUUUUUAGAUCUUGCGUGGCUGUUUUAAAUAAAAAUUAGCUUAAACGAUAGGAAUCACCGUUUAAACGAAUUACAAAGAAUAAGAGUUGCUCACGCGAGUUUCUUCGCAUCUAACGUGUUAUGUGUAUUGGAAACGUACAACUUUAUCAAUUUCGUUGUUUAAAUGAUGUAAAGAUGUAAUAAAAGAUACGAGCGAAGGGGUUGGAUAAAAUUUCUAUUUUUUUUGUAAUUUAAACUUCUAUCGCGAUCUCUUAUUUAACAACUAGCUUUUGCUCGCGUGUUUGUUCGCGUGGAUAUACGGAACGACUUUUAAGCAGCUGAAUUUUUAUGAAUGAAAUAUCUACGUGUUUUUUAUACUAACAGUUAGGUGAUUCUUCUUAGUAAAGAAUAUUAAAUUAUAAAAAGGAUUCGAUCUCAGAACAAACACCACGUGAACAGUAA
rnacentral:misc_RNA from 1 species